rnacentral:rRNA from 1 species
GCGGACGGGUGAGUAAUGCGUGGGAAUCUACCUGGUAGUGGGGGACAACAGUUGGAAACGACUGCUAAUACCGCAUACGCCCUACGGGGGAAAGCGGGGGAUCUUCGGACCUCGUGCUAUCAGAUGAGCCCGCGUGAGAUUAGCUAGUUGGUGGGGUAAAGGCCUACCAAGGCGACGAUCUCUAGCUGGUCUGAGAGGAUGAUCAGCCACACUGGGACUGAGACACGGCCCAGACUCC